GUCAGGGUGGCUGAGUGGUCUAAGGUACCAGAURCAAGUUCUGGUCUCCACAUGGAGACAUGGGUUCAAAUCCCAUCUCUGACA
rnacentral:tRNA from 1 species